AAAGCUCAAGUAAGAAUGCAGCGUAGAAACAAUAAAAUUAGGAACAAAUAAUAUACAUGAAAGGAAUAAUUAAUAUCAUGUCAUCAUUCACAACACAGCUAUACUGAAAUUUGGUCCUCGAAUCCUCCAGUUGCUCAGUAAGGCAUGAUCAUCAGUGCAUCAUAGAGCAAAUGAGAGUAUGCCAUUAGUAUUAGCUACAUUAAUCAGCCAAGAAGCUGAAUCCAAGAUUACCAAUAGUAGCAUAGUUAGACGAAUCACGAAACUAGCAAGUCCCAUGACUAAACAACAGACAUGCACUUUCCAGCCUACUGAAAGAGAUUUAGCAAGUAAUCCUAAAUAUUGUUCAAAAUGUCAUAAAAAAUCACAGAUUUAUCUUGAUAAAAAAGAAAAUGUUGAAUAUUCGCCUGAGCUUCCGUCUCAAGCACAUCAUCCACGACAAGAUCUCAAUCGAAUACACCCAAUGUACGAUAAAUGCAUGCAUGAAGAACAAGAUAGAAAGGGGUAUUUCAUAGAAAACAUCCUUGAUGUUCGUGGUGUAACUCGCUCGUCAGUGAGAGCCAUUGGUACUACAUCAGAAUCGACUUCUUUGUAGCAGAAAAGAAAUGGAAAGCCAAAUGACCCAUAAAAAAUGCUAAUUUCGCUCUCCAAAGUAAAUCGCCGAACCUCACCAUGCCUAGUGCACUACAAAUUGUCAAGAAAUGUAGCACAAAGACACGCUAAAGCAUUCUAAACUAAUCCUCAACCAUCACCAUUUUUUUUCGGGAAGACUGCAUCAACAAAUUUUUUUUAAUCUCACGAUUUUUCAGGAAGACUACAGCGACAUUUUCUUUAAAAUCUUCACAGAAACUACAUACCUACCUGCUAAAAAAGGAAGAUUUUGAUGAAAGACUAAGAACAUCACCGAUUUAAAAGGAAUAACAUCAAUACGUACAACGAUAAAACAUGCAUUUAUGAAGCAAAAAUGUUCUAAAUUGCGAAUAAAAGGCUCCCGAAUAGUCAAAAGUUGUUUUUUUUUUCUUGUCCCAUCAAGUAAAUCCAAAGAUCAGCGCAAAAAAUAAUUUUCAGGGCACGAACCAAACAAACGCAUAUAAACCAAUUUCGUCCUUCGAAAUCCAACCGGAAGCGAGAAGAACCCCCGACCUAUUGCUCCUAAAAUGAUAGAGACAACAACAAUGCCUUCAAAAUCGAUUAAAAAUCAGACGUUUGCAAAUAGUGUCCAGAUUUGAUCAACAGACACACGAAUCAAACUAAAACAACCAAUAAUUCGUUUCUAAAAACCAACCGCUCUACGAAUUCUCCAGCAGAGAACCAAAAUGCUCACGACAUGCAGGCCCGCCGCUCCGAUCGACCGCGAUGACCAUCAAAAGCGGAUCCGAGAAACCCAAAGCACGGCGAACGAUCGCCCACCCUCCUCGCCGCGCCUGGUCUUCUGGCUCUCCUCUCUUCCCUCUGCUACGGCUCCAGAUUGAGAUCAGAAAUCGAGGGCUUUAAUCGCAUCCCGUGUCCCGCUUUUGGGUAGAAUAUGGAUUUCUCUUCUCCCGAUGACAGUCAAAGGCAAAGCAUCUUCGGAGUGCUCAAACGUACUCUUUCUUUGACCGUUCAGACUUGAUUCCAACCACCUCCUAACCACAUUAUUAUUAUUAUUAAUUUCACGUGUUUUAAUAUUAUUUUAAUACUAACUUUUUCUGCUAAUAAAUAUUGAAUAUUUUAAAUGACUAAGUUGCUUUUGUCCUUUCAUUUAAUUACAUCUCGUCCAUAGAAAUAGAAAUAUAGAAUAGUGAAAUUGCCCCUGUCGCUCGAUCGACAUCAGACGGUUAAUAACAGUCUUAGAGAGCGGCUUCGCGUCACGGGUGUCGUCGAUGGAGGAUCGGACGGCUGGAGAUUAGCCUAAAGCGAUGACCGCGGGAAUCACCAAGUCGAGGGUUGUUUCGGCAAGUUAGUUUAGGGAUAUGGCGCAAUCAUUGGUGGCAACCGCAAGGUGCUGUCUACCUGGCGGACCGCCACGUGUCGAAUCUGGAAAACUUCGUAGGGUUGGUCCUAAGGUGGGUCCGACGGAGACCACCAUCCAAAAGGCAGGUAACGUUGAUGAGUAGUGCGAACAAGGGGUUCGGAGAAAUAUACCGUGACUUACGAGUCAUGUUACCUCGCGGUCGAGUUACCGAAUCUUAAUUAGACCGGGAGGGAAGAAGGUUUCCUCGAAUAACAAGAUGGGGGGCCGGUCAACCCACGGUUUGCGUGCCGGUUUGACUGCGCAAAAGCUGCGGUGUUGCGAGGCCGAUCGCGGCUCCCCCCGGUGAGAUCAGUGGGGUUACCGGAGACAAUUGCCUCGGCUCGCGUGAAAGAGGUCGACGGUUUAGUUUUAGGGACUAAUUAAUUAUAUUUUUAGUUUCGAUAUUUUAAAAAAUUAUUUUAAGAUUUUUUAUAUAUUUAUAAAAAUAAAAAUAUUUAACUCUUUUUCUUCUCUUGGAAAAAAUACCAUAGAGUUUAUCGAUGAGCACAUAUUUGUGUGUUUAUAUGUUUUUAGAUACAAAUACGACGAAUGUGAUGGAAGAGAAAUUAAAAUAUGUAAAUAUCUUUGUUCGUUACGUCAAACUGAAAAAGACGGGGGGAAGGAAACGGAGAUGAAGUAUAAGCGAGGUCAAGAAGACUGAGGAGUUCGGUUGCUGGCAGAAGCGGUUUCGCCAUGGCUGGGUUGGCUACCUCGAGCACGGAGAUGGAUCUCGACCGCCCCAACAUCGACGAGUACCUCACCGUGGAGUCGAUCCGGGAGGCCCCCAAGAAGCUCCACCUGUGUGUAUUCUUGGGUCACCUUGUUUUGUUCUUUUUCACGUUUUCUUUUGGGGAAUUCUUGACGUGCUAGGUUUCUUGAUGGAGCCUUAAUUGUUCUUUGGUUCAGGAGGGACCUCCUCGACAUUUCUCCUACUCUCAAAGAAGCUGCCGGCGCCAUCGUGGACGUGAGUUCCUCUCUCUCUCUCUGUCUCUCUGUAUUAAUUCGAGGGUUGGGAAUGGUGGGGGCAAAUGUUUUUUUAUUUCGUCGAUGAGGUUUGCUGGUUAUGGUGGCUUUAGUUAGUGAUGUAUUCGUCUCGAAUGAAUGACUGUUCUCAGAUGGAGUUAGAGAAUUAGAUGAAGUAUAGCCUUGAUUUGAUUGGAUAAAGUGUUUUUGUUGAAACCUUUAUUUCUUGACUUGCUUAUGUCGUCGGUUUCUUACAUUGAAAUCCACUUUUUAUGUGUAAUAUCAUGCGGACAAGGGGCCAUUCUCAAGAGUAUAAACUAAUGGGGGAAGAGAAUCAUCAACCAUGUGUCAUUCUCAAGAGCUAAUGCUGUCUCUUUCAUUCGGUCGUUAAUUUUCACAAGUUAGUCUUGUCUCUGAAGUUUCACAAAUGCAAUUCUGUUAUUUAGUCAUUUUCUGUUGUAUUAUUUUCCUAUGGAAUCUGGUUGGAUGGAUUAGCUCAUAGCUAAUGUUUCAGGUAUUACUUAAUUCAUCUUAUACUUUAUGCCCUGUAACUGCAUUUGUUUUCCGUCAGUACAGGACUCCUUCACUCGUUGCUUUAAGUCGAAUCCUUCAGAACCCUGGAAUUGGAAUAUCUAUUUGUUCCCUUUAUGGUGCUUGGGAGUAGUUAUUAGAUAUGGGAUUCUUUUUCCAUUCAGGUAUGAAUUACUUUCUCUUUAUUAGUAGAAUAGUUGUCAAUAUAGGCAGAUAUUAUUAAUUUAAAUGAUCUAAGAGAUUUUCUUUUUUUAGUUUAUGAUGGAUUUCAUCUAUUCCUUUGCAUUACAUGAAGAUUGGCUUUGUUAUUUACUUGAGAAGUUCUUUUUGUUAAACUUAAUAUUCUUAAAAAUGCAAUAAAUAACAUGUAAGUGGCCACUUGUAUAAGAUCAUAGUCUAUAUUAUCAAAGUAAUCAAUUAAUUUACUUAAGCACUGCAUGUAAAAUAUCAUACACUGUUUGCCACAAGUUUCAUGUAAAGUGGAUGUGCUAUACAAUAGCAAAACGCAAAAGGUAACAUGAUCAUCCACAAUCUAUACCAUUUAAAACAUCAAAAGCAUCACAGUAUCACAUUGGCCAUCCAUGAUACACUAUAUCAUUGAUAGAAAAUUGAAAAUUAUAACACUAGAGUGGUAGAGCAUAUCAAUUUAUGGAUAAGAUCAAAAGAUAAUUAAUGAGAAUCAAUUGGUAAUGCCCAAGACUAAAAAAUUUAGGCCUGGAAAUUGUUUCAUAAUAAUAAAAUGAAAAUAAUGUCCAAGACUAAUGGCCUGGAAGUAGAAGGAUGGAUAUACUUGUAUAUAAGGCUUGAUCUAUUUUCAUUAAUUCUAGGCUUAUCAAGUUAGUGGGUCAAUUUUUGAAUUAGAAUAAAUCAUGACAUAUGGUACCUAUACUACGCAUAUGCUAAGAGGCUUAGGUAUGAAAUCACUAUCCAUUGACGAUACUGUAGAUCAAGGAUUUUAAUUUCGAAUGAAACCGCCUGCUACCGGGCGAUACCAUCGAUUGGGGUUGUUUUCACCUUGUUAUCGCCCAAAUCAGUCGGUAAAGGUCGAUUUCGAUCGUCGUCGCCCGCUACUUGGUGGUAUUAGUCGAGCGAGAAGUAAGAAGAGGGAGAAGAAAAGGGAGGGAGAACCUGAAGAUCCAACGCUGCUCUCUCUCGAUGAUCCCGAUCCAUCGCCACCCUCUCUCGUCGGACGCCACAAAUGAGAUGCCGCCUCCUCGUUUGUGGUGACGAGGCCUCGGCAUCGUCGGCGACUUCUCCUCAUUUGCGUGGGGAGAAGAAACGAGGCGACAUCACCCUUUUUAUUAUCUUUUAACAUUAUACACACACACACACACACACACACCCCCCAAUUCUUCUACUCGGUUUCUUCUCCCCUCGUGGGGAGAAGAAACGAGGCGACGUCGCCUUUUCUAUUUUUUUUUAACUUAUUAUAUAUAUAUAUAUAUAUAUAUAUAUAUAUAUAUAUAUAUAUAUAUAUAUAUAUAUAUAUAUAUAUAUAUAUGUAUGUAUGUACUGAGCGGUACAUCGAAGCAUACGGUAUGCUCGUACCAUACUGUAUUGAGCUGAGAUUGAAACUCUAGUAUGGUACGAAAUUAUAAUCCUUGCUGUAGACACAUUAGUCUCACAUAGGAAGUGAUAUGAUGGAUGCGGUUUUUGGGUUAGUAUCCCAUCAGGCCUGGUCAUGAUGCUGUAACAUAUUUUCAUGGCCUGUUACAUUUGUGUUUAUCUUUUUGUUCAUGUAAAGAAAUAAGAGGGAUUAUGCUAAGAAUGAAAAGAAGAGAAUUUGAUGCAAGAAGCCAAGAAGGAGAUUGAUUGGGAUAGUAUUGUUGGUCCACUCAUUGCCUGCAGCCAUUUGGACCAUUUGAACACUAUGUGUUUUAGAUAGUCUUAUUUAGUUUCAAAUGAUAUCAAGCUGGUGUUUGAUCGGGCAUAGCUAAUGCCAUCACUUAUCUUGCAUGAUAGGGAGAUAUGAAACCCCUAUCAAAAUGAUACAGAGUUUACCUAUAUUUAGGUUCACUAGCUCAUUCUGCAACAGCAAGUGAUCAUAAUGAAGAUUAAUUAAGUUGUUACAUCUGCUGUGCCAGCCAGAACUUCUGUUUUUAGGACCUAAUAUUGAAAUAAAAAGCCAAUAAACUGAGGAAAUGCUUUUUGUCUAAAUUGACACUAGACAAGUUGCACUGUGAUUACCACCUUUUUCUUUUUCUUGAAGGAAUUAGCUCUCAAUAACAUUCAAUAGGGUAGACUUUAUCUUAUGCAACUUGUUAUAUAUCUUGGUUUGGGUUGAUGAGUUACAUAUUUAUUUGCCUUCUGUGUCUGGAACGAGGUUUGUCUGGUUUUUAUUUCAUCAAUUCUCCUUGAUAGUUAAUUUUGGUUUAUAUAUGUAGAAAUUCACUAUAUUUGUUUAUUUUUAUCAAUUAUGACAACCUAUGGCGUGAAGUAUUUAUGUUGCCACAACUUAGGGCUCAUUUUACUUUCAUAUGUUGCAGAAAAAUAUUUGUCUUCUUCAGUGUUAUUUUCUGUUCUUGUAUACAUUUAGAAUCUCCUAUCGGUAACUUGUUUUAUCUCAUUCUUUAUAUUCAUCUCAAACUAAGAUCUCUUAUGUGUUGUCGUAGAGUUAUAAUCUUGGUUGCAGGAUGGAUAGUAUUCUUUGCAGCCUUUUCACUGGUGCAUUUCCUUUUAGGAGAACAUAAUAAGUGGAAGCGUGAAAUAGAGGUAGAUUUCUUGUUGCAAGUAACCUGCUUGUUUGAUCUUCUAGCCAGCUAUUGCAGUUUUUUCUUUUAAUUUCAUCCACAAAGUUCUUCAUGUUGAUGAUUGGUUUUUGUUCUGUUCUUGAUGAUGCUCCUUAAAGCUAAAUAGUUAAAUAACAAAAUUUUCAAUCUUGAAAUGUAUGGUUCUUUUUGUUUAAAGGACUAAUUAUCUUUGCUUUCUCAGAUCUGUGCUUAUAUCGGUAAUUAAGAUAUAUUCUAGGUGUCUUUUUUUUGCUUUGUCCAUUUGUAUGCAGAGGAAACUGGUUGAGAUGAUAUGCAGCGUAUUUGUUGCUUCAUGGACGGCAGUGAUUAAAUACCAUGGACCUCGUCCCAGCAUGCGCCCUCAACAGGUUCUUAAUAUUCAUACAGAACUCAGAUAUGAUAGAUCUUGUUUUUCUCUGAGAUUAAGCAAACUUCAUUUAAUAGGUCUUCGUUGCCAACCACACUUCUAUGAUUGAUUUCAUCAUCUUAGAACAGAUGACAGCAUUUGCUGUCAUUAUGCAAAAGCAUCCUGGUUGGGUUGGUAAGAGCCUACAUUUACUCGAUUUUGAGCCUUAUUCUUUUGUUUUUCUAGCUAUUUAUCUGAGUAAAGUAACAUUAAUGCUUGAUUUUUCUGCCAUAGGAUUUAUCCAGAAGAUCAUCGUAGAAAGUUUAGGUUGUAUAUGGUUCAACCGUACAGAGGCUAAGGACCGUGAAAUUGUUGCUAGAAAGUAAGAGUUGCCUUCUUUUGCUACAAAGUGUAAUUGUUCUUUUCUUUUUAUAGUCUUGAUGUUUACUUUCUGGAUAUCUAGGUUGAGAGAACACAUUCAAGGAGUUGACAACAACCCUCUUCUGAUAUUUCCUGAGGGAACUUGCGUUAACAACCAUUAUACUGUUAUGUUCAAGAAGGUUUGCCCAAUAUUUCCAAAGUCACUGUACUUAUAUGUAUAUGAUGCUUUUGCUGAGAUACUCAUACUGGAUAAGUUUAGAUUCACAGUAAGCAAAACAUAAGUUUCGAGUUGCACUCCAAUCUUUUAUGCAUGUUCAUAUUAGACUUUGAUGAGUAGUCAAAACACCCAUAUUUGCUUACAAGCUCAGGUCUAUGCAGCAUGUAUUGAAAAAUCAGAUCAAAAUGACGAGCCAAUUUCAUGUUAGCUCUCACAUCUCAUUCCUGAAUCCAUCAUGCUGCAAGAUCAACAUGGUUUUUCAUUAUCUUUUCUAUGGACCAAUGUGCUUAUUAGUUGGAUGCACAAACGGCACAAAACAUGAACUUUGUUGUUUUUAGAUAGAAUAAAGAGGCAGCGAGGAUGCCUUGGAUCAGUUGCUUGUGCAGAUACAGAUGGUCGACUCAUCAUAUUACAUCUCCUACCGUGUGAGAAAUAUCAUGUUAUCUGUAUUAUCAUCGGAACUUCAGCAAUCUCAUCUUGUUCAAGAGAGAUUGUACUUGAUACUUAAAAUGAAUCAGUUGUAGAUUGUAGCCUUCUCUAAUCCAACUGAUAAUCUCUCCAAAAUGGUUAACAUUAUAAAAUUGUGUUCGUAAGCAGUAGAUUUGAACAAAAGUAUUCAUCAUUAUGAAAUGUUUCUUUGCAUUUGAAUUAUUGUUUGGAUCAAUAUGAAAAGUACUUGCUAAUACUGAUUGCUUCUGUAUCCGUGCGAUGUUGUUGGAAUCCACUGGCUUGUUGUUGCAGGUGUACUUCUAGCAUUUAAGAUUAUUUUUGCUUCUUAAACACUUUCUUGUUAAGUCUCCUGCAUUUUUGGUUGUCCCUUCAAUCUUAAUUAGUUACUAUAAAAUUUUAACUUUAGAAAAGUUCACCUUCUUUUGUGAUCCAUGUGCAGGGUGCUUUUGAACUUGGUUGUGCUGUUUGUCCUGUAGCAAUCAAGUACAACAAGAUUUUUGUGGAUGCUUUCUGGAACAGCAAAAAGUAGGUGCCUUAAUUGUGACUAGGUUUAGAUGAAAACUUGAUUUUUAUAAUUUCAUGAUUUAAUAUGGAAUCAAAAGCACAAAAGUAUGUGAGAUGAUAGUGCAUCAAUUAAGUUACAAAUGUUAAGCAUAAGAUUGUAACAGUCUCCACUCUCCAAUAGGUUAGGUGUUUGACCUCAUUUUAACUUUUAUUGAGAGCAAAGAGUUUUCAUUCACCAAAGUAAAAGAAUGCAUGAUUUUGUGUGAUAGAUCAUGCCUGCAUUAUCAAACUAAGCUUGAACUAUACAAGUAUUUUAACUAUUUUCUUGAUAGUUUAACUUAUCCAAGACAGAAGUAUCAACUUAUGUAAUACUGUCAAUCAAGAUUUUAUCACAAUGGUAAAUAUGUUCAUCAUGUCAUGUGAUUUGACAGAGUGUCUUAGCAAAAUAAAAUUCUAGACUAAGAGGGUUGUCUAUAUGACUGCUGUUCUAGAGGGAAGUUUGUAGGCAACCAAGUGUUGAAUCUCCACUGUGUUGUAUACUAUGAGGAUUGUAGAACAUAUAUGAUGCCUUGUUUUUAUGGCCCAGUAUCAUGUGGAUAACAUGACGAUUAUCUCCAUAUAAUGAUUAUAUUUUUCAUGUUUGGUCAUGUGUGGCAAAAGGAGGGUGCAUGAUGUUGCAUCUUUUUCACAGCAAGCAAAAUAAGACCACCUCAGCAGAAGCCUUAAAAUGAUAUCCUGCUUACAUCUCUGGUGGAUGACAACUCUCUAACUUGACUUGGAUGAGCCAAACUAGUAGAUUUUUUUCUAUUGAGCACUCUAUUUUUGAAGUCAGUAUUUUUUUUUAGGAGAUAAUGACAGCUCAUGUUGAUCAACCCUUAUAACGUGGUGUUUACGAGAAUUAUAUGGGCACUUUGAUUAUAUAUAAGGUCCAUGAUGACUACGGGAGGCUGUUAUUUUUCAUGAAUAUUUUCUCUUCUUUUUACAAUUGAAGGGCUUGGAUGUUUAUUGGCUUGUAAAGUCAUGUAAGAUUGUUGCACGCUUCAUUUAUAUGCAGCAUCUCAUUUCUACCUUACUGUUGUUUGGCAGGCAAUCUUUCACGAUGCACUUAGUACAGCUUAUGACAUCAUGGGCUGUUGUUUGUGAUGUUUGGUACCUGGAGCCUCAGUAUAUAAGGCCUGGAGAGACUCCUAUUGAAUUUGCUGAAAGGUGAAAUUGUUUUAGAGCUUCAUGAUAUACAACAUUGUAAGCAGAAACAGUCAUUUCACUGAUACUGUCUAUAUGGUCAUGCCAUGUAGGGUUCAAGACAUGAUCUCUGUUCGAGCUGGUCUCAAAAAGGUCCCAUGGGAUGGCUAUCUAAAGUACUUCCGCCCCAGUCCCAAGCUCAUAGAGCGCAAGUAUGAUACAUGUCAACCUUUCUAUUUUUCUUGCAAAAUACAAAAUGCAUUUUAUUUUUGUGUAAAUGCUUGCAGCAUCUUACAUUUCCUAGUGCUUGGAUUAUGUGUUCACAUAAUUAGGUGUAAGUUCUAUUGUAUUAUUUUUUGUUAUAUUAUUGAGGCAAAUAUUAAUUUGAGCUACUACAAUCAGGGUUGACAUAUAUAGUAGCAACAUCAACAGUCCAAGGUACAACUUAUAUAAUGAACAGAAGUUUGAAGAAGCAGAAGUAAUCAGUAUCUUGCUUCUAUUGUUCGAUGUGAAGAGGAGAUUAGACAUAUUGGUCAUAUACUUAAAUUAGGAUGGUUAAAGCAAGAGGGUCAUUCUAAGUGUCGUGGUGUAGUAUGUUGUCUAACCCAUUGGUUGAAAGAACAAAAAAUUAUAAGACAAAAUUAUGACUAGCAAUGCUAUAUGAAUUGAAAUGUUGAGCAAUUAAGGAAUGAUAUUUAAAAAAGGAUUAGGCAUGCUUUGAUUUUUUUUUUUUCCAAAAGGAAAAGGUUAACCUAUUGAUUCUUAGUGUUAUAUAAAUAACAAAUAAAUAAAAGUUUGCAUUUGUUGACAUUUAGGAAUAGUUUUAAUUAAGGACUAAAAUUGAGAAAAAAAACCAUUUUGGGUGGUUUGAACAUGUACAAAGGAAGCUAAUGAAUGAAUUAAAUCAUGUUAGGUGACUCAAUUUAUGUUUGUCUGGUAACUUUACCUGGAACAUUGCUAAUAAUGGAGUGAUGGGAAAAAUUUUAUGUUGCUGAUCACAAACAAUUUGGAUUUUUGGCUUCAUCUUGUUGUUAUAAAACCAUAUUGUUCUUUUCCUUACAACUGGAGUCUCUAGUUGAGUAAAGCAUUUAAAAAAAAAAUAAAACUAGCUGUAUUUUUAGAAGAAAUCUGAGAAUUUUGAGAAAAACUAUUAUCAUGCUAUGUUAUAGUGCUACAAAGGAAUCAAUCAGAGGAAGUAAAUCUAAAAGGGUUUGUAUGGUUCAUUUUAGUUAAAGGGUGAUAUUUAUACUACUUUGAAGCCUAUUAGUCCUCAAAUAACAAGAAGUGACGAGGAAGAACAUUAUACAUAUGAAGCCAAAGUUCAUCUAUGCAAUAUCAUUAUGUAGUUGCGGUGAUAUCAGCCUCUUCCAGCCACAGCGCAUGACAUAUUGCAUAAAUCAUAUGGCUGCAUUUGCAUAUGUUGCCACAUGAAGAGCAUAUGAGAACACCUACACGUUAAUCUACAAGUGAUUUGAUAUUUUCUAAGCUUCUUGGUGCAUGAUACCUUUAGCAAUGUGAGAAGUGAUAGAAAGUUAGAAAGUACAUGUAGAUGCAGUUUUAUUUCAAUCGAGUGAUGGUUUUUUUUGUAGGUGCAUACUGCCUCUGUUCUUUUUUUCUUUUUCUUUUUUUUCUUUUUUGCAUCUUUUUGUAAAUUACUUGCCUAAUUUGCAGGCAGCAGAUCUUUGCGGAGUCAGUCUUACAGCGAUUGGAGGAGAAAUGAACAGAUAAUAAAAAGAUUAGUGUUGGAAACGGAUCCAUUAGUGAGGACCAGCAUGUGUAUAAGGUGAAUCAUGGCCAAUAUUAUAUUAUUGUACAGUUAAGCAAUCACGAUCAUUCAGGUGUGUCAAGUACGGGGCUUGCCGUGCCCUGUUUCUUACGUAAAGGUUGGAGUCUCAGCUUGUGUAAGGUGAAUGAAUCACGGCCAAUGUAAUUGUUGUACAUUUCAGCCAUCAUGAUCAUGCGUCAAAUCUGGGGUUUUUGGCGGAGCCCCGUUUCCUUUCCUGUUUCUUACCCAAAUGUUGAGGUCAAAUCUAAUUCAUGAUUUGCGUUCAUAAUACAAGAUAUUAUGGUGAAGCGUUGAUAGGGUAUUACUCGCCGUGGAUCUCCGCUCCGUUCGCCAAUCGCGUCAACUUGGUUGGCUAAAAUGAUCAUUUUUCUUCCAAUGUUUCUACCUCAAACCACCUCUCGUAUAAAAUGAACGACUCGCAAUUCGUCGCACCAAAAUCUAUAGUUAACGUAACGCUUUUUGACUAUUUAACUCUGCACAAAACAUGAGCGACAGAGAGAGAGAGAGAGAGAGAGAGAGAGUAUUAGGAAGAGAGACUGACAACCCACAGACACAGCGACACAACAAUCCGACACCGCUCAUCAUAUACACUACUGCUCACCACAAUAGCAUAACAGCGAUGACCAUGACCAUGACCAUGACCACAUGCAUCAAGCUUGGGUGAAGCGGAGGUACUCCUUCUUGGACGGCAGAUCCGUGGUCUCGAACCCCUGCGGGAACAUCUGCUUGGCCUCCUCGUUCGACACACUGGGCGAGAUCACCACCGGGUCCCCCGGCUUCCAGUUCACCGGCGUCGCCACCUUGUGCUUCGCCGCCUUCUGCAGUGAGUCCACCACCCUCAACACCUCGUCCAUGUUCCGCCCCGUCGACGCCGGGUACAGCAUGCUCAGCUUCACCUGCACCACCACCACCACCACCACAACAAACGCCGUCGCACCUACAAAACCACGCACAAUCAAUUUGUCACUGUCACGCUACCUUCUUAUCUGGUCCGACAACAUGCAGUGCCCUCGACGGAAGCUGGUUUCCGCUGGCGUCCUCCUCGUCGGGAUCCACCAUGUUAAGCUGCUUGAUCACCUCCCUCUUUGGGUCCGCCGCGAUCGGAUACGUCACGAGGCUCCCCGGCUGCCGUAGUCAAACACCAGUCAUCAACACCGAUGCUGCUGUAACGAUGGAGGUAACGUAACGCGCGGGGAGAGCACACCGUGUAAGCCUCCACGUCCUUGAUCCAUUCCUUGUGGGACUCUACGUCGUCGCACGAUAAGCCGAGCAGCUUCACCCCUCUCUUCUCGAACUCCGGCGCGUACUUCGCCAUCAUCCCCAGCUCCGUGGUGCACACCGGCGUGAAGUCAGCUGCAGCGCGUGCAAGCAAUCAGUCAAACACCGACGAGGGAGGAAGGGAGGGCUGAGAUGGCUUACCGGGGUGGGAGAAGACGAUGCAAUAGCCAUCGCCGACGUAGUCGUGGAUCCGUAUCUUCCCCUGGGUGGUCUCCAGCUCCAGGUCAGCUACGGUGUCUCCGAUCGUCAGCCCCGGCAUCUUUCGACGGUGACGCUCUCCUCGGUAUUCGAACCCUUCCCACCGGUGAUGGCUUGAACGCGAGCCGCGGGGCCUCGGUUAAGAAGAACCCCGUCUCGGCCGCAUGCAGCGCACGUGUCGGGGUCGUGGCAGCAGUCGUGACGACGUGUCCUGCCUCCCUCGCGAAUGUUCGGACGGAGACGAACGGGAGCGGCGCUGUCGACGUCACGUCAACACGAAUUCGUUCAGCGGGAAGAACACCUUGUUACUAAUCUUCGGAUACGAAGAGGAUGCUCCACGUGUCGGUAGGAGACGAGGGGCGCAACGUAAGGGAAGCGAGCCAUGAGACACGACUUAUCCUUGGAGGCUCCCGGAAGGAAACCGAUGUAGGCGUUCCCUUCCCUGCUCGUAGCGUUGAUGGCGUUCGGUGACAUGACGCUGAGCGACCUGUUCAUCCAUCAGGUAAAAAAGAGCUUUAGUGUAGACAUUUCACUAAAGAUGAAUGAUGUACUUAAAUACUUCUCAAUCUUAGGGAAUACUUACAGGACGUCUUCCUGAAGGUUCUGAUGCAACCGUGCAGUUGACGGUGUAGAUCCAUCCGCGAGUACCGCUUACACCAGUAAGAAAAAUGGAGGGUCUCUAUACACUAAUCAACACUAGGAGUUGCAAAUCUAGACAGAAGGUACAAGUUUGGCAUCCACAAUCUGGGAAAGAAACAAUAGAUGAAAGUCCGAAAUUACAAAUGUUUCGAAGGCAUUCUCACAUAUCCACAGCAUAAAUUGAUUGAUCCAUGUAAUGUUUUCACUCUAUGCCAAAUGUACACGGGAAGGGCGUUGGAAAUCCUGCCCAAGGGAAGCAAGUGACAUACUCAUCCCCAAAUGAGGCGCUUUAAGCUCUGUGACUUCUGACAUGUUCCUCACACACACGGCACUGGAGCAGUUCCUCCGUCAAACAUGAAAGCAAACUGUCAAUUUCCAAGAGCUUCUAAUGACAACAAUUUCCUUCCAGCUGGAGGCGCCAAUCCCGGUAUGUCUCUGAUGUUCUUGUCGUUCGGGUGCACAAUCUGCCAAUUGGGAAACAAAAAAGGUUAGAUGAUAGUAAUUAGAAUCAUCGCCAUCUGGGUUACACAGUGACUUUGUGGAUGCUCUGUGCAGGAACACGCCUAUGUGACAAAACUAUUUACGACUCUGUGAUGUUAUUGUCAAAGUUAAAUGGAUUGAAAUAGUUGUUUGUAGAUCCAUUUAUUCAGUAAAAUGUGUUGUUGACCAAUAAAACUUACAUGACAUUUAGAACUUACCAUAUGCAAGUUCUCAAUGGCUGGAUGUUAACCUAAAAGUUGGUAGCCAAGUCUUCUAGCAGAUAACAAUAAUACUUCAUGCAAGUAUGAUGACUUAAUUUGGAAAAAACAUACUAAUAUGCUGACAGAAGUUCCAGUCUCGAAGUAAAAGAAAAGAGAUGAAAUGGCUGUGAUUGACACAAGAAGAAGUGGGAGAGUACCUUCACGAUAAUGAUUGCAAUGACACCACAAACAAUAAGAAAUAAGAAAAACAUGAUGCACUUAUCGGUGGCAACCUGAAAGAAGAGUUUUGGUCAUUAGAGUAGAUUAAGUGGAGAAUACAUAGAAGACUGGAAUAAAGAGGAAAGAACAUCGAGAACAGAGACCAAAGGACAACCUGCCUACCAAUCUCUUUCACCAACUGAGAAGCCUUCUUGAUGGAAAAAUGAAUGGUGUCCAGCUCAUUAACAAUUCGACCCAUUUGUUCUGUCUGCAAAAUCACAGAAUUUUACUCUUUUAACAGAAAAUUUGUUUGUAAAGAAGACAUUUUACAAGAAGAAGAAAAAUAUAAGUAGGAGGAAUUAAAAAAAGUCAAUCACAGUCAAUUGUGAUCUGCUUACGAAAGUGCUUGGUAACUUACUUGGCCUUUAAGAUUUGCAGCAGUUUGAGUUCCUACUUCAAUGGUUUGCUCAACGACCUAUAAGUUCAAAGUUAUAUGUGAAGAUACGAAAGCAAACGAUAACCCAGAGGUUGCAUGAAGAUAAGAAUUCACCAUUUUUGAACGCUCAAUGGCUUGAUCAGUCUCAUCCAUCUGCUUCCUUCCAUUGUCUAUCAGCUCUUGAUUAGACAUAUCUACAAGAUGACACAAUAUUAACGAGAUAAUAAGCAUGCAGACUAAAUGGUAAAUGGCAAGUUUCUCAGAAAACAGUCGAGAAAAUUGCCACUUUAGAGAAAACUAUAGUUCAAAAGAGUCCAUUUGCUUCAUUUCUAGAACAAAGUUGCACAUUGGAGUUAACCGGGCAAUGGAUUAUGCCAUUGCAUACAUAUUGUCAUCGAGUCUUAAUAGGUUCACAAUUAUAUCAAUCCUACACCUUCGAUUAGCCAACCAUCUCAUAGUAUAUGCCAGUUGAAAAUUUUCCCAUCUGAUGCACUUGAAAUAUCACAAUCAGACAGCAAGCUUGAGCAUGAAUAGACUGUCAAUCAAUGUGUUUCAUAGCACCUCUAUAUUGGUCCAUUCAUCCAAAGAGUGUCACAUGCUAAAAUUGUAUGUUGUUUGCAUGCCCCUGACUAAUAACACCUAUCAAAACACUAAGACACUAGGUCUUAUGCAAGUUCCUCUCUAGACAAAACUUGACUGAGAAAAAAUAAAAAUCCAUUUCAAAACUCAUGGUGGGUGAUCCUCUCCCAUUGUUCACUAACAAAAAAACAAAACAAAAUUUCUGAAUUAUCAACUAUUUCCUAUCACUGUAAAUGGGGAUCACAAAUUUUUCACUCCACCUAAAUCAAAGAAGAGAAGAUCUAACUUAUCAAUAUUCUCGUACACGUUUUUCACAAGUAGAUGCAUAGAAUCAUCUGCAUGCAAUGAUUGAAAUUUAGCUUGAAGUCCAAGGCUCAAAACAUGAUAGUUUUAUGAUAGAACUCAACAAAAUUGCUUAGAAGUUACGCAUGUCCUUGAAAGAAUUGCUUAGAUCCAUCCAAGUCCUUUUCCAUCUCCUCAUGCACCGAUUAUUCUAUUAAUUAUAGCUUUUUUUUUCUUAUGCUUUUCACUAUCCAAUAUUUAUGAAUAACAUCAAGCCAGAAUCCUCAAUUUCCUCAGGUGCUCUUAGCCAUCUUCUGACCCAAAAAUGCUAAUUAUAGCUGAACCAUUUUCUUGUCUUCAAAAAGCACUCAGGAAUUUCGAAACAUUAAACUACCAUGGACUGUAUAUUCUAUUAAUUAUAGCAUUUUUCCCAUGCUCGUCACUAUCCAAGAUUUCUCAGUAAUAUCAAGCCAAAACCCCUCCAUUUCUUCAGGUGGUCCUGGCCAUCUUCUGACCCAAAAAUCCUAAAUGUAACUGAACCAUUUUCUUUUCUUGAGAAACCACUCAGGAACUUCAAGACAUUGAAAAGCAAAAUAUACAAAUACUAAGUUAGUGUACCACUGUAAAUGAUACUUUGGUGUAAGAGAUCAAUUAAUACCUGAUGCCAUCUUAACAUUCUCCUGGGUUACAGGAUCACUAGUUCCAGCACCCAUAUCAAAGAGCUCAACUCUUUUAUUUCCAAGGUUACUUUGGUACCUGAAAGCCAUUAAUUGAAAAGGCAAUCUUAUCAACUAACAAAAGAGAUGCAAAGAUAUAGUGGGAUUUGUUCACUAGAGGACAGAUGCAUUAGAAAUUAGCAAGCAAAAUUGCAUUAGAUCUUGCACAAAGAAAAGAAACUGUAUAAAAAAGAGAUGCAUGUUACAAGACGAAAUACUGAGGAUACUACAAAUAGAUUGGUUGAAUAUAGAUAAAUAGACAGACAAAAUUCAACCACAUAAUAGAUGCAGCUAAUAAUCAACAAACCCUAGGACCAGUAAAUUCGAAGUCAAACAUCAGGAAUUGUAGACAACAACGAAUAUUUUGGACAGUUUGCAGAAUUGAUAUCAGAAUAAAGUUCACUUAUGAAUGUUAUAAUUAGAAGGAUUGGUGGAAUUGAAAUCAGCAGAGAAAUAACUUAAAGAUUAAAAGAUUAUAAAAAAUAGUAAAACAUUAGAAAACAUAAAGAAAACAAUUUGUAUUGAUGAGGAAUAACAACCACUAACAAAAAGAACAGCAAGUGCUGCAUCACCUGCACUAUGAUGCUGCAAUCGUAACUUCAAACAUGGAUGUCAUACAGGAAAUAAGAACUAGACCCCUCGACAUAAAAGUAUUUGAGUAUAUUGCCCUUUUAUUUCAGAAGAAUGCAUGCUGCUUAUAAUACAUAAUAUUUACACAUAUGCCCCUAUUAUAUCUUCUGUGAGUAGACACUAAAGGUUAUCAGUAAUGAAGAGAGAAAAGAAAAACACAUGUAGCCUUGAACAUUUUUGCAACCGAUUAAAGUCUACAUAGCAAUAAACUAAACAAUCAAAAAGAUUUGAGAGGGAUUGUUGCAAAUGCAGUUCAGGAACUAAACGUGGGUGUUUUAAUCAUUCUAGAACUCUAAUUAAUUGAACAUAAACAUCCUGCAAUUUAACAAAGAAUAGCUUGAUGAUUAUUCACAUAAAUUGUAGAGGGGAAUAGACACAAAUACAACUUGUUUUGAACGACAUUGAAGCAAAUACCAAAAUUGAGAAUUAUAUAGGCAAAUACAUGUAUUUAACAGGCAUAAAAAUGGACAAUCCUUAAACAUAUAUGCAUGCUUUGAUUGUUUCAGCAGUCCGUUUAUCUUUUGCAAGGUCUCAUGCAACCAUUAUUGUCUUUAGAUAACCAAAACUUAAAGUGAUAGUACAUACAUGAUAAAGUAGCUCAGUUGGUCCCAAGAGAAAGAACAUAAAUUGCAUGAAUUUCAUCAUCAAAUAGAGUCAGAGCUUAGUUAGCAAAACAUAUAUGGUGGGGACACAACCUAUAUCACAUAAAGAAUCCACAAAGUGAGCAUUACACUUUACAUUAAUAACAAGUAAUGAUAAGUUCUAAUUUAUGAAAGUUAAGAAAGAUGUUUGUGGCCUUGGUCACAGGAUGUAAAAUACUAUUGCAGAAGACAGAACUAGGAGGAGGAAGAUUGACAGCAGUUUAAAACAUACGUCUUUCUCAAAGCCACAUAUGAGUUUAGCUCCUUAAUCUGCAAUAACAGAAAAGGAGAUUAUGUUACAAUUAUCAAAAAGAAGAUUAGAAAAAAGGCAAGAAUUAGGGAACAAAUUACCAACCAUCGAUUGCUUCUUCUCAUUGAGCUGCUUAUUAUGCUCUGGUUGAAUUCGACUCUCCUGAUCUUUAAGUUCAUGAUCAAACUCUUUAAUCAACCUGCAAAGAUUAACAUGCCACUAAUAUAAAAAAAAAAAAGGUUCACUGUGGUGAUAAAAACAGAAUACCUUAAUGUUUUGUACUGUAAAAGCAAGUGAUAAACAUGAAUAACUUGUAUCCACUUGUAUAAACCCAGGAGGAUCUUUUGUAUAGUAUUAUACAGUAAAAUCAAGGUCAAUUCACCUACCGCUUACAUUCCCUCAUCUUCCCUGUAAGCUCCUCCAACUGUUUAGUCUGUCUACUAGGGUCUUUAAUCUUAUCUAAUUUUUGGAAUCCAUUCCUGCAGAGUGCAGAUAAUCACAGGAAAAACAAUUGUCAAUAUUAAUCAAUUUGGCUUCCAAGGUUCUGCUGCAAUAUUGAACAGUUAGAUAAACCAAUUACGGCAAUAAAUUCAACAAAUUUCCUGUAAUGAAUUAAGCAUGAAAAUUGAAGAACAAAUACCAAAAUAUGAACAAAUAAAAUGACGAUUACAUGGAUUAAAGCAUCAUGCAACAAAAUAAUAUAAUGCAAAUGAAUAAGAUUAAAAAAGAGAAUUCUUAAAGUACAGAAUGAUACAAUAACAAUUAAAAGCAUCAUCCUGUAAACUUUAAACAUUAAACCAAUGACUGACAAACAUGCACAAUAACAUACAAGAUGUAAAGAUAACUUAUAUGAGAAAUUUACUACUUCCAAGCAUGGCAAAUCUCAAUUUGGAUCAUAGAAUUACCCGAAAGGCUUCUUACAAAAUUAACUAUAAAACUUACCGAGCAAAUAGAAUAUAGCUCUCCUCUAAUGAUAUCAAUUCCAUAUUCAACUAUUUCCUAACUAAAAGGAAGUCUCAUUUCCUUGUGCUAUCGUUGUAUUUGAAAUUCUGAUCUGAUACACACAUAGUCAGAAAUCAAAGAUAGCAUCAUGACUUCCCUAAGCACAUCCUGUAAGAAACGGAAGUCCUUGAGCAUCUGAGAACAAAAUUCAUCAGUUGUUCUUUAGAUUCAUAUUAUGAAACAUAAUUCUUCCACUAUGAUGCAGAACUAUCAACAAUUACAUACAGGUCAUCAAUGAUAUACAGCCAUUACCUAUUAGAUAGAUUAAUUUUAUUUUCAGUGAGAUACUACAAUAAUUAGAACAUACUGACAUGCCUCAAUCUGAAAGACCACCUAUAAGAGAAGUACCAAAGAUCCAAUCCCCCGGCUGAUAGUGCUUUGACCAACAUGAUAAAAAAUAUAUUAGAUCAGAUGUAUAAUCGUUGUAAGGGGACAUCAUCCAGUGAAUGACAUUUCUAACCAUGUAAUUAGAAGCAAGUUGGACUAUGUCACUUCAAGAAAAUAACUACUGAGGACAAAAGGACCAACAGAGUUUAGAGAAUCUGAACUUCAAUCGUAAAUAAAAAGACUUACAAAACUAUGGAAAAAAAGAAAACAGUUCUUUCCUGGCAUUUAGAAAAGAAGACUCCGAAAGAUAUUCUGUCAUGCUAAUUUCAUGUUUGCCCUCGCUAAUGUAAACAUCUAGAAAACUGAUGCUGAUCCUUCAUGGAAAAUACUGCAACUAGCAGACAACUCUCCUACCCUCUCCGCAUGCCAUGCACUUCAUUAGCAAUACCAACAUAUAAUCAAUUAAAAUCUUUUUUUGCUUUGCCACCAAAAAAGAUCCACAGAUGCAACAUCAGCUUUUCCUUUAAUAAGACAGGUGAUAAGUUCCUCCUCCUGACUUGGAAGAGCCAUUAUAACCUGAAUAGAAAAUUUAAAAAAUGGAUAGAUGAAGUUCAUUAUUUCCUUUUUUCCUUUUUUUUAAUCUAAUUACCUGUAGUUUAAAUUCUUAUAAAGGCUGCUUUAAAUAUAAGCUCCACUACACUGCAUGUCAUAGAUAGCUAAACUUUUCCAAGCUAUGCAUUUUGAUUUCCGCCUAUUUUUUUAUGCUUUCUAAGCAUUUAGAAUUGUUUCCUUGUAGCUAUACCUAUAGGUGUUCUCCAACUUCUCUUUCAAGUCACUCUCUCUAAGAAAUAUUAUCUAUGAUAAACUUUUAUGACAAAAAAGCUUAUUUUCCUCUAACAAUUUCUAAAAACCCAAAAACUUUCUUAAUCACUAAUUCAAAUUAUGAUGUCAAACUGUUGGAAAAUCAUAAAGCGUACACACUUUUUUAUAAACUUACUAGUUUUUGCAGCGUAUUUGGAGAUUUCACAGUGCUAAAAUCCACUGCAGUUCUAGUAUCUCCUUCACAAAGCUAGUGUCGCAAUCGAGCACAAGUUAUUGUUAUUAUUAUUAUUAUUUUAUGUUACAAAGCUUCACCUUUAUAUUCCCCAUACACCAUGUAGAUCUAUCCUACACUACAUACAGAAAAUACUCUUAGUUUCCAUUUUCCCUAAUUUAGAAUCUGAUUAUGAUCUCAGAAGCUUCGGAUAAACUAAACCAGCAUGUUCAUAGUGACUAUCGAGUUCCCCUUGUUCCUCUUUUUUCUUUUGUCAAAUGAUAUAAAAUCACCGACAGUCAAAGUCAAGAUAUUCAAGAAAGAUUGCUGUCCAGUAAAGAUACAACUAAUAUCUCGAUGCACAUUACAUUUCAACCAACAUAAGUUUUAGAAAACAAAGAUCCAUCUAAAUUUCUGUAAUCUUAUGCAGUUCAGAAAACUAAAAAGCAGGAUUCUGGUUCUCCCAUGAAGAUUGCAUACGCCCCUCAAAACAUGAAUCUGUACAGAUUAAAGAAGCACGUGCAUGAACUAAGCGAAACAGGGCUAUCAAAACAACGACUGAAGGAGGGAAGAGGCGAACGAUCUUACUGAAGGGCUCGGAAGAUGUCCUGGAUCUUGCCAUCGAUCUCCUCCAGCUCCGGGCUGAUGGGCAGAUCGCUCGCCAUUCCUCACGCAAGAAACCAAAACCCAGCAGCAGAAACUUCCCCUAGAUUCCGACUCCUCCAGUCACCACCACAGAGCGCUGCGCUUCCUGGGAUCAAACCCACCGAACCACCCACAUCGAGAGAAGGAUCAGAAGAAAGGGUUCGAAUUCAGCAUACCAGAUCCAAAUCCCUACUCCACCAGAGAGAGAGGCUGUUUUCGAGGGCUCUCGCUGUCUUCGAACCCCCAAAUCAAAUCAAAUUCUUCGCAUCGUGGCAACGAAUAGUUCUCUCUCUCUCUCUCUCUCUUUCUCAUCCCUUUUUGUUUUUAAAGAGAGACGUUUAUAAUCCGACCCAAGAAACCUACCAGAAGCGAUGGAUCGUCUGAUGGAAAUCAGACGUUCUAAAAUGUGCUGAGUGUAUCUAAUCAAGGUGCAGUUACGAGGGCUACAACAGGACGAACGAAAAGCGAGUUUGUUUGUGUUGACAGAGUGGAUUUAGGUGGGAUGCGCUGUUCGCUAUGGGGCCCACUCCACCAGACGAACAUGUGAUGGCAGUGGGACCCGAGUAGUGAAGAUCCUGUAAAACGUAUAUUGUAUAUAGAAAUUAUAAAGUACCUUUUAAAACCGUCCAUCUGACUAGUUCUUUAAAUCUCGACCGCCCUUAUAUUUCUACACGUGGACGGUCGAGAUUAGAGAAGUUGGACACACGAUUACGGGACUCCGCUGCCUACCGUCGCUCGAAAUGAGCGGCUACCUUUUUCUUCCACGGCAAAAAGGAAGGGAAGAAAGAAGGACCAACGGUUGAGAUUAAAAACAUCUCCUUUUUAUCUCAACCGUCUAUCAGCUUUAAAUAAACAUUAAAUAUCAACAUAUUGUUUUAAUUAAAUCAGAUAUUUUGAAGGACAUUUAUAGAAAUAUUUUCUGUAUUUUUUUUAAAUUUAAUUUAAGAGAGGAAGAUAUAUAUAUAUUUAUUUAUAUAUUUAUAUUUAUACAUUUGAUGCUAAUUGGAGUGGGAGAGAAGUAAAUACGAAGACACAACUCUUCUUCCAUCUGGCGUUGACCAAUUGACUGUCAGUUAACGUGACAGAUUAUUUGUGGGGAUAAAUAAUGUGUAUUAUAUGUAGGAGACGUAUAAUAAUAAAUAAUAUUAGCUGAAGGGUUCAAUGAAUCGAGUGCGAAAAGGAAAUACCAAUUGAGUCCACAGAAUGAUGGUUAUGACUCAGCGCGUCCGAGUGGGCGUUGUUGCGACCGUUUCGGAGUCGUGCGCCAAUAUCGAAGAUAAAUCCAAUAUCGCUUUCUCGCUCUCGCUCUCCCUGUGUACCACUCGCCGAUGGCUUCGCCUGCCGCCGCCUCCUCUUCGGGUCGAUCCUGAGCUUGGUGGCCAUGGCGGUGAAGAAGGCGGCCGAGUGCUCCUCCAAGGCGCUGGCCGAGGAGGUGCAGCGCUGGGGAGCCAUGAAGCAGAACGGGGUGAGCCUGCGGUACAUGAUGGAGUUCGGUGCUCGCCCCACCGAGAAGAACCUCCUCCUUUCCGCUCAGUUCCUCCACAAGGAGCUCCCCGUGAGGAUCGCCCGGAGGGCCAUUGAGCUGGAGUCACUGCCCUUUGGCCUGUCCCAGAAACCCGCCGUCUUGAAGGUACUUCCGUGUGCUUGGUACGGUGUCCAUUCUGGCUGCAGAUGUGUUUACUGGUCUCGAUCCCCAAUCUGGUGUCACCAUCGCCUAAUAAAAAGCUGGUAUCUCUGAUGAAAAUUCCGGACAUAAUACGUAUCGGUGGUCGGGAAUCUGCCCUUUCUUUAGACUUGGUCCUAAAAAGACAGAUUUUUUUUUGCAGGUAGCAGACUUACAGUAAAUCAACCAAAAUCUCACUCCUGAUCUUGACUUUUGCCCCUUUUUUGGCUAUUUUCAUCGCAUUUUUUCUUUAGGUUCGACAUCUCAAGAUUUAUCUUCUCAUAGAUUUUGGGAGUAAAAUAUUUCCACAAUCGUAAAUAUUUGAUCUUUUAUUUAAUAUUUUCUUGUUUUUUUUCCUUUUAGUUCCUAUAAUACAAAUACCAAAUCCAUCAACAACAAUGUAUGUUUCCUACUGAACAUGAUGUAGGAGAGUCAUGAAGGCUGACAUUUCAAUUAUCCUUUUAAAGGUCAGAGAUUGGUAUCUGGAAUCUUUUCGCGAUAUCCGAUCCUUUCCAGAUGUUAAGGACAGCAACGAUGAAUUAGCUUUCACUCAAAUGAUAAAGAUGAUCAAGGUGAGGCAUAACAACGUGGUUCCAGCCAUGGCUUUAGGUGUACAGCAGCUAAAGAGAGACAUAAACUGCAAGGUCGUGUCAGAGCUGGAGGAGAUCCAUCGAUUUCUUGACCGUUUUUACAUGUCAAGAAUUGGGAUCCGCAUGCUUAUAGGUCAGAGGAAAUUCUUCUCUAACUUUCUCAGUGACACAAGUCUUUAUUAUUCCACUAUGCUCUGUUUAUACAGCCAAAAGAAAAACUCAGGACAAAGUUUUGUGGCAUGAUACCUCUGAUUUCUGUGGAAUUCAGGACAGCAUGUGGCCUUGCAUGAUCCUGAUCCAGAACCAGGUUGUAUUGGUCAGAUAAACACUAGACUUUCUCCGAUGCAAGUUGCCCGAACUGCUAGUGAAGACGCCCGCAGUCUCUGCUUUCGAGAAUACGGGAGUGCUCCUGACGUUAACAUAUAUGGAGAUCCAAAUUUCACCUUCCCGUGAGUGUUUCUCUUACAUUUGUUGUAUGUGAUCAAUAAAUGUAUCUUGUUUGUGAUAUGCUUAUUGGUAAGCAACAAAUUCAAAUGAUUGACUUCUUUUAUUCUUGGCUUUUGAAUUUUCUGUUGAAUGUAGGACCCCAAGAUCAGGAUCAAGAUAGAGAUCUAUACAAUUAAAUGGUGUUUUCCUGUUUCCUGUUUUACUUAUCCUUGCAUUUCUUUUGCUUGUCAUUGUCACCCUUCUUUCCUUCCUAUCUUCGUGCCUCUUCCCUUGAUAUAUGGAUCCUUAAAUUGCCUGUUCUGUCUUUCUACAAACAGAAGCUGCAGAAGUUUCUAAGCAAGUUGUUCUAAUUUCAUAAGUGCAAUUCCCAGUGUUGUAAUAGCAUUUGAACUGUCCUUAAAGAGGUGGAAGCACAUUUAUCUUUAUGUUUUAUGAAGCAAAAUUGAUUCUUUUCAUGUGAUGUUUACCUUUUCUAUGUUCUUAUGAGUAUUGCUCUCUUUCUUCUUAUUCUCUUUCUGAAACAGGUAUGUUCCAUCACAUUUGCACCUUAUGGUCUUUGAGCUGGUAAAGAACUCUUUGCGUGCAGUUCAAGAGCGUUUCAUGGAUUCCGACAAAGAUGUCCCUCCUGUUAGAAUUAUUGUUGCUGAUGGGAUAGAGGAUGUUACAAUAAAGGUUUGCCUUUAAUAGUUGCUUAUAUCUGUAAUUAGUGUUGAUUAUUUGUUCAAACUUGAUAUCGAGGAAAUUUCUGGCAGGAGAAAACUAGUUGAGUAAAAUUGUCCAUUAUUUUUCAUUUACUUACCCCACAUUCUUUGUCUUUCUUUCUUUUCAAGGUAAUGAUUCUAUGUUUAUAUAGCUGUAUUCCAGAUUCCAGAAUUGUUUAUAUAGGAAAGUAGUCAUAUGAGUUUACCUAGAUUAAAGAAAUGGAUUGUUUGAACUAUAAACGCUACUGUAAUUUGAAUCAUGAUCUUUCAUCAUUUGUGGCAGAUAUCAGAUGAAGGGGGUGGUAUAGCUAGAAGUGGCCUUCCAAAGAUCUUCACAUAUCUCUAUAGUACUGCAAAGAAUCCACUAGAUGAGACCUAUGAAGGAAUCUCAGAUGGGGUAACCAUGGCUGGUUAUGGUUAUGGACUUCCAAUUAGUCGUCUCUAUGCUCGUUAUUUUGGUGGUGAUCUGCAAAUUAUCUCCAUGGAAGGAUAUGGUAAGUCCAACUCUUGUUUUGACUUGAUACUUGAUUCAAGUUCCUUUGACAUUGUUUGUAGUCCACCAUGAUUAUGUCUAUGUUCUUUUCCAGAUGUUGCUUGGCAUACAUGCAUAUACCUCACAAAUUCCAUGUCAUCUCAUGCAAAACUAUAUCAAUCCUCAUGACAGAAAUAUAGCUUAAGCAGAUAUUGUAUUGCAUAAAAAAGAUUCUCUAUUUGAGACUUGUAAAGUAAGUUACUGCUGCACCAUAUUUGGUAGGUUUAUGUAUGAUGCACAUUUUUUGCUAUAAAAACCAUCAAAGUAUACAGAUUUCUUUUUUACAUCUUUAUUAUUUGGAUAAAACUAACAAAAUUGAGUUUGUGGCAGUUAGCUUGAACUAUGUGAUUGGAAAAAUAUAAGACUGUACAAUUGAAAAUAAUGUCAAACUAGUGUAGUUAAUUGCAUCACCUGGAAACAUAUUUGAUGUAUUUGUUACAAAAGAUUUAUGCAAGGAACAAAAUAAUGGGAAAAUUUAUGAAAUUUAGCCAAUGUGACUCAGGCUAUGCUGCAAUUUGAUAGGUUUUCUGCAAUUUGAUAGCCACUUGAUCAAGCAAGGAAAAGGAAGUUGUGGAUAUACUUGAAUGAUUAGAAUAGUCUUAUGUACUGAGCCUCUUUGUUUUCUCUUUUCCUGUCUUUUUAUUAUAUUAUUCUUAUGUUCAAGAGAUGGUUUUUGUGUUGCCUAUACAUAGAACAUUGAGCUGGGAAUUUUCAAUAUCAAUGAUGCAAGAAGCCUUUCCAUUGUCGAACAUAUUCAAUAGCACCAUUUCUAUUUUUCUCAGCCCUGUAUCACUUCAUAUGCUAGACGCAUACAACCUGUAAUACAAUUAGGAUUUUUCUGAUGCAUUUUUGUCAUUUUUUGCACUGGCGUUUCCAGGAACCGAUGCCUACCUUCAUUUGUCUCGACUGGGCGACUCACAAGAACCCCUGCCAUAAGUUCUUAAAUAUUUUUCAUGCUUGAUAAGAAGCUACAAUUCUCUCUUGUGCAGAGCUAAGGCUGUAGAUCUGUGCUUUAAGCUUGAAUUUUGCAGAUGAUUUCCACACAUCAAAGUCAGCAUCGAUCAUUGCAGAAAAAAAAAUAUGGAAAGAAACUUUGAAAUCUAUGCUAGUUGAAUGAAACUGAAGCUUCUCAUAUCCAUUCAGAUGAUUCAUAUUUGUGGCAUUGCAGAUGAUUUCGGUACUUCAAAGUCAGCAUUGAACAUUGCAAACGAAAAAAAACUUUGAAUUCAAUGCUAGUUGAAUGAAACUGAAGCUUCUCAUUUGCAUUCAGAUGAUUCAUAUUUGUGGCAUUGCAGAUGAUUUCCAUACCUCAAAGUCAGCAUUGAUCAUUGCAAAAGAAAAACACUUUGAAAUCUGUGCUAGUUGAAUGAAACUGAAGCUUCUCAUUUCCAUUCAAAUGAUUUAUAUUUGUGGCAUUGCAAGAAGGGGUCCAAAUCAACAGGAAAACCUGUCGACAUGAGCUUAACAGCUCUUUCCCAAGGAUGCUCGUUAUGUACAACACUUAACCUUAUUCCAUUUAUACAUCACUUCACCUUAUUCCCAUUGUGCAUCAUUCCUACACCUAAUGCCGUGCCACAAUUCAACAAGAGUCGUCUCCCAGCUCUUCCGAUAGCUUGGCACACAUCUGGAUGAAUGAAGAAAAAUGUUGAGAUGCCAGUGAUGGAUUCUACAGCAGCUUAGCUUUGAGGUCUUUAAUCCUCAGUGAGACAUGACAUGAUACCUUUCUAUACAAGGAAGAAUCACCAUCCAAUCUUCUCAGUUCCACAACAUGCAGAGAUGGGCUGAGCUUCAAGAUCUGCAUGCCACAAACGUGAGAUCAAUGCCUGAAGGAAUUCUUAGCACAGACUCAUCAAGAACAUGGGAAAGAAAGAUUGAACAGGAAAAAGGAAAUCACCUCUGCAGCAGCAGAGAGUGAACUCUUUGAAUCCUUGGACUUUGUUCCUACUUUCAACUGUCAAUAGAAACCAAAGUAGGUUUAUCUUUUGGGUGUCAAUCUGGAUAUGGAAUGUAUCAGAGAAAUCUGUGUCUACUCACUUUGCCAUGUCCCUUCUGAGCCUCCAACCCCAUUUCUGUGACAAUGUCCACAAUCUUGUCUGACAAAUCUUUUGGCGAAUGCGUCGAGGUGAACCUAGUUUUCCUUUCGGAAACAUCCUGCAAAUGCCAAAUCUUUUCAGUGCUCACUUCUCCACAAGAUGAUGACAGCUUAAUGGAUCACAAGUUUGAUAUGUGGAACUUCAAUCACACAUGAGAUGAAGGCCACUUUAGCAUGCAGAAAGUUGAUCUUGUCAUGUUCAUCAAGUCUCAGAGAGUAAAAUUUAGUCGAGCAGUGAGUAUGAGACUGAGGAAAACAUCCGACACUUCUACCUCGUUCUCAAAGAAGCCAGAAAGAUCAAGAGAUGCAGACAUUCCAAUCAGCUGAAAUGCAUUGACAGGUGAAGUGCCAUUUCCAUCCAAUACAUUAUGCUGCAACAAACCAAGUGAUCAGUUCCAUCAUUAAUAUCCGAAUUCAUCAAAUUUAAGUACCCACAAACUUCACCACCACCUCCUUAAUCGGAAGAGAGCCAUAUAGGCUCGAAUCAUCGUUGUCGUCGUAGUCGAAUGGGACAGCCGGAGAAUAGUCUUUCUUGAACCAGUCAUCUGCUCUGAUUCCAGCCACAUUGAUCCGGGUUACAGGAUUUGGAUCAAGAAUUCUCCUCAACAUGUUUUGAGCUCCAGGAGAGAGCCACCUGGGGAUCUUGGUAUCUCCCCUACAGAUCUGCACCAAACCAGAGACGAGCUCAAUGAAGAACCAAACUGGUCAUGAACUGAUCAAAGCAUCUCAUUCCAUGCUUGCGAGAUUAGAGUUAUGCACCUUCUGGCAAAGAACAGCGAAGUUUCUGUCAUCGAAAGGAAGACACCCUGUAAGAAUCACGUACAGAAUGGCACCGCAGGACCAGAUAUCCGACCUUGCACCGUCGUAACCUCGGUUGCAGAGAACCUUUGGUAGCAUUGCCAUUAGUAGCUUGUCAAGCUAACCAGCAGCAGAAGAAACAUGAGUAUGUAGAAGACAGUGAUGCAGAUUCAUUACGUUACCUCAGGAGCAAUGUAAUUGGGGCUUCCACAUGUUGUGUGUAGCAAUCCAUCAUUCUGAUGCACAGAAUCCGCAGGUGAGACAAAAAUAAGAAGGAUGUCAUCGAGAGAUUUGAAUCACAUACCCCGAGAUGCUGAGGUAGAGCACUGAGGCCGAAAUCAGAUAUCUUUAUGUUUCCUUUUGCAUCCACAAGCACAUUUUCCGGCUGUAAUCAAAGCAAAAAAGAAACGAGAAACCUCAAAAGAAGAAUCAGCGAUGAAACUUCUCGAGUACAGUUGGAUUAAUCACCUUCAGAUCUCUGUGGUAGACUCCCUUAUCAUGACAAUGGCUAACACCAUCGAUCAACUGCUGGAAGAGCUUCCUUCCUUCGCCUUCUGAAAGCUUACCUUUUGAUGCCUUCGACAUCAAACAACAAAAACAAGAACUCAUACAGGAGCUGAUGCAAAAGCAAUUCGACCAACAUGUAAAAGAUUUGUCAAGUCCAUGAUCCUCACAAUUUUGUCGAACAGUUCACCGCCGUUCACGUAUUCGAGGACCAUGUAAAUCUUGGUUUUGCUAGCUGAUACCUGCCACACAACACAAUCAAUCCAUAGGGGUUGAACCAUCGAUCAACAACUUAAAAGUCUUCAUCUUGACAUAGAUAUCAAUCCUUUUUCCAGGUGCCAUUGCCCUGUUCUGCAUCAUCAUCACCUUCUUCUUUCUGAAGAAAGGAGACUGAGACUGCUGUCAUUCGAUCCAACAACGUUGACGACAAAGAUUCACGUGGUCGCAGUUCCCGAAGGAAGGUCGCCUCACCGGACUCCAUGUUCAGAACGGAGGGACCCGACAGAAUCUUGCGUUGAGUCGUCAGUUGGAGAGGGCCCCACUGGGGAUGGGGAUGAUCGGCUUGCAUUGGAUUCUCGAUCGUUCUUUUUUCCUUAUUUCUAAUUUUUAUUACGUUAAAUAACGAACAAAUACUAUUAUUAUAUAAUUUAAUAUUUCAUUAAAUAGGAAUACUCUGCCGGUGAGACCCACAAAUAAUUGGCCGCGGCUGGUGUUCAGGACCACAUGUCAGCCGUCGGCCAAAAGGGCCCCACGUCGCGCGGUUAAUCCGCGCCGGGAAGAGAGUCGACCACCCACCUCGGGAUGGAUACGAAUGAGGACGUGCGCGUUAUUGUCCGUGAAGGAAUGGAGGCAUCUAAUGCCGAACCAAUGCACGGAUCACAUAAUCUUGCGCAAUAAUUCCUCGCGGAGAGGAUUAAUAUCGAUGGUCAGAUGGAAGGAGAGAGCGAGGAAGAAGAAGAAGAAGACGAAGACGAUGACCAACCUCAUGUAACCGGACGACGUUGGGGUGCUUCAACAGCUUCAACGUGCCGAUCUCCCUCUUGAUCUGUGGCAUCUCUUGCAUGGUUAAUUCACUUCACAGGUAUGCCUACAGAACGGAAGGAGAGGUCAUCAGAAGAAGCAUGUUUAGGCAACAACCUGGUCGUCGAUCUUGAGCGACUGGAUGCGCUUGCGGUCGAGGAUCUUGACGGCGAAGGCCAGCCCGGAGUCGACGUGCCUGGCGUACCUCACCUUGCCGAAGUUGCCCUCGCCCAGCGUCCUCCCUAGCUCGUACUUCCCGAGCACUCGCACCCCCUCUUCUCCUCCUUCCCUCACCAUCUAUAUAUAUUUCUUGAUCCACGCACGCAGGCAGCGGCCCUCCUCCUUUGUGCCUCUCUUGCUGUGGAGAAGGAGCUCGGAGGAGAAGGAGGCGAACGGGGUCAGAGCUGGAGAUGCGGCCCUUCGUUAUACAUGAGGACAGGGGAGGAAGGGAGGUGAGGAGACGGCCUUCCUUCCCCUCGCAGCUUCAAUAAUACCUGCAUUUAUUCACCCUGCAAGGAAGGCAAGAAUGGAGUAAUUAGGGUGCAGGUUGCACCAAUCACGGGGGUGUGCUUUUACCGCAAUGGCCUCCUGUCUCGUGGCAUGUAAGAUGAUGAUGAUGAAGAAGAAGAAGAAGAAGGGCGUGUUGCUGUCAACGUUAUUCUUAUAUUGGCAUAUAUACGUAAACUUAGCAUGUAACUAUUGGCGAGGCUGUGUUGCCACCAUGUCCUUUGGGUGGAGGUCGUUAAUGGCUGCGGCUUGCACGUAGAGACGAGGAGGACCAAAGAGAGAAGGAGAAAGGCGACGGGAUAUUCUCACGUACAUGUAAUAAUAACUUUCCUCUCACGUACAUGUCUUAUCGAUCAAAUCUGACACGUAGAAUUCAUAUCAACAUGAAAGUAAUAUAAGUAGAUUAUAUGUAAAGAUAGAAAGCACAUAUGAAGAUAUUUGUAAUAAUUCCAAAGAUACGGAUGAUUGAACUGGCCUAAUUUGGGAAGUGGAUCAAAUCUUAGCUAGCAAGAGGAAGAUUCUCGUACCAAAAAUGGUGUUCCAAUGAGGAUGUCGUUCUCAUACAACUUAAGAUAAUUGAAACCCUACAAUUAUAUAAAUAAUUUUAUAAUCAUCAUUUAUAAUUCGAUCAAAAUAUUUACCAGUUAAUGUCAUUUUACCUUCCUCUAUAUAGAUGGCAACAAAGACAACCUGACUCAUCUCAUGUCUCCUGGUUAUAAGUUCCCUAAGAUCUUAUGGUUUGUAGUUGUAAGUAGCUUUCCUAUCAUUUAUUUCGAUGAUACGAUACAAGACGUAGGACGAUGGAUCAUUAACAAAAUGUUUGACAAAGUGUUGAUAGUGAAGUUUAUCUUAUAUGAGGUAAUACAUGGGGUAAGAAUUAAAUCGGGUUACUAUUUAUAAUCAUAAACUUUUUUUUAUUUAGAUACAAUAAUAAUAAUAAAUCAUAAAUUUUAAUUAUUCGAGGUUAGCUACGUAUAUUUAGUUAAGUUUAAAAUAUUUAAAUUUUUAUCAAUUAUUUUUAUUAAAAAAAUUUUAGGUCUUCGUAUCCUAAGCACAUAUUCAUACCAUUUUAUCCUAAACGAUUCUCUCUCACCUUAUCAAUAUCAAAGCAAUCUAUAAUUAUUUAUAAAUAAAAAAAUAUUUAUUUAUCUUUUCUAUCCGUAUCAACUAAAAUCUUAGUGUUUUCAUCUCUAUAAUGUAAAUUAUAUAUUAUUAGUCUCAUAAUUAUUUUUUUUUUUUUUUUUAUGAAAUUCUGAAAGGAAGAAUAAAUAGAUACUUUGUGAUUCUUUUCUUGGUGAGCGAGCUAAAAGGCUUGUGUGAAUGGAGCUCAGUUUCUUUCCGGUGAAGAAUAGACCUUCUUUGACUUCAGGUGCACGCUUCUAUCGAGCUACCUUUGCAGGUUCCACCAUGACUUGUUGACUCAGGAAACUCUUGUUCUAGAUGGUCAAUGGCUGACCUCAAAUGAUGUUGCAGCGGCAACCAUUCCUCGUCUCAGGAGGAAGCUUCCUGCCUCCUCCUGCCCUGUCCAUGGUGUUGGCAAACAGACAUAACAUGACAGAUGUGAAAGAGCAGUCAUCUCUGUUUGAAUAUUUUAGUGCAGAGACGUAAUGCUCGUUCGAGAAGUCAGAAGAACCUUCACGUAUGUCUCAUACUUUUCUCCCUCGUGCGCCUGAGGUGGUCUUCGUCAAUGGAGCACGAACUUGUCUGACAGCAUCUCCCAUGGCGUUGGCGUCACACUAUGUUCUGCGUUAAUUGUCGUCGACUGAUCUUUCUUUUCUGAAAUGUUGUUGACCUCUCGUUGCUGCGUGUGUUCAUAUCUCAAAACUUCCAUGUGUCGACAGAGGUGGCCAUGACUGUGGUGCUGUCAAUGUGCGGUAGAAAGCUAUCGAUCCUUCCCGUGCUUCCAGAAGGAUGGCUUCUGCUUAUUCUAAAGAUCUAUGGAUGUGUCAUCCAACUUGGUGUUAUAGAAUUGCGAUGCCAUCUGUGGACAUGGAACCUGGUCACCCUUAGACUGUGGCAGACGUGUUCUAACACUGGAUUUGGUUAGCAGGAUAAGGAUGUGAGGUGCAUUUAUUGUUCCUCCAACAGAGAGUCAGUGGAUGAGGCCAAUAUAUUAUCUGUAACCAAGAAUUAGUAGGUAGAGGUGAUGAUAACGAGGAGAAGGUGGGAUGAGUGCUGAUACUGUUGGCUUCCACCAUGGCUUUUGAUCUGCAUAAAGCACUACCUCUGUUUAAUAUAUGUUGAUCACCAAAUACAAAAGAACUUAAUCUGUGUUCAGCUUUCCUUUUCAGACUCAGAAACAUCAGAUCCUCAGAUGACAGAUCAUUUGACAUUACAAUUCGAGGCAAAAACAACAAUAGAAAGAAUAAAGAUGAUUGACUGCUUAGAUUUCUUUUGUACAUACACAGUAGACAACAUUGAAGAGCAAAUCACACACCACAAACCCCUCAAUUCACAGUCUCACAAUCCACUAGACUCUCUGCCUGCUUAAAAGCAGCUCUUCUUCCACUAGUUUCUCUAUCCUACUCAUCUAACUUUGUGCUUAUGAUCGCAUUUUUCUUACCUCGAGAAAUUGCAUCGAUCACUCCAAAGUUUCUUCUGAGGCACUGAAAGCUCUGUUUUGAGCACUUCUCCCACUCACUGUCUUCUUUUACUGUGGUGCCUUCAGGUAACUAAGAGCUGACCGGCAUGUGGCAGUUGGGCGACCGGACCAGCCGGGAAGAUUUCUGGCCUGUUGCUGAAACCCAGGCCGGUCUGUCCCUGAACCGCCACGGGAACCGGACAAAGAACCGGCGCCGUAGAAGGAGAAGUGGGGGCGGCUGCGUCCGUGGCCUCCCCCCGUUUCCUCCUCUUCGGUGAGGAGGAGGAGGAGGAGUAGGAGGCGGAGGAGCUGUAGGAAGAUGACGAGGUCGAGGAAGAGUAGGAGGAGCUGGGCUCCGGAGAGGCUCGCUUCGAAGGGGACGGCACAGGGGAAGUGGCCCUGGCCGCAGCCUCCUCGGAGCCGAUCCGGAGCGGGAAGUUGAGCAGGGCCCGGGAGCCCCGCAUCCGGUAGGCGGCGCGGUCGUAGGCGAGGGCCG
rnacentral:lncRNA from 1 species